AACGAACGUUAGCGGCGCGCCUAAUACAUGCAAGUCGAGCGAGAAAGGGCUUCGGCCCCGGUAAAGCGGCGCACGGGUGAGUAACACGUAGGUGAUCUCCCCUCGAGUGGUGGAUAACCCUCCGAAAGGAGGACUAAUACAGCAUAAGACCACGACCUCGCUGAGGUUGCGGUCAAAGCGGACCUCUUCAUGAAAGUUCGCGCUUGAGGAUGAGCCUGCGGCCCAUCAGCUAGUUGGUAAGGUAAUGGCUUACCAAGGCUAAGACGGGUAGCUGGUCUGAGAGGAUGAGCAGCCACACUGGAACUGAAACACGGUCCAGACUCCUACGGGAGGCAGCAGUAGGGAAUCUUGCGCAAUGGACGAAAGUCUGACGCAGCGACGCCGCGUGAGCGAUGAAGGCCUUCGGGUCGUAAAGCUCUGUGGGGAGAGACGAAUAAGGUACCGCUAAUACCGGUAU
rnacentral:rRNA from 1 species